CUUGGUUCGCAGAGCUUUAAUCAAAGGAAGUGAUGGUUGCAUGUUAGGGUUUUGGUUUGCUGAGAUUUAAUCGAUGGAUUUUUAAGGGAUCUGGGUAUUUCUCUGUAAUAGACUGAGAUUUAAGGCUUUGGUGGAAGCUUAUUAAUUUCGAUUGAGUUGUGAG